CCUACGGGUGGCUGCAGUGGGGAAUAUUGGACAAUGGGCGAAAGCCUGAUCCAGCCAUGCCGCGUGUGUGAAGAAGGCCUUCGGGUUGUAAAGCACUUUCAGUGGGGAAGAAAGCCUUGGGGCUAAUACCCUCGAGGAAGGACAUCACCCACAGAAGAAGCACCGGCUAACUCCGUGCCAGCAGCCGCGGUAAUACGGAGGGUGCGAGCGUUAAUCGGAAUUACUGGGCGUAAAGCGCGCGUAGGCGGUCUAAUAAGCCGGUUGUGAAAGCCCCGGGCUCAACCUGGGAACGGCAUCCGGAACUGUCAGGCUAGAGUGCAGGAGAGGAAGGUAGAAUUCCCGGUGUAGCGGUGAAAUGCGUAGAGAUCGGGAGGAAUACCAGUGGCGAAGGCGGCCUUCUGGACUGACACUGACGCUGAGGUGCGAAAGCGUGGGUAGCAAACAGGAUUAGAUACCCGAGUAGUC
rnacentral:rRNA from 1 species